rnacentral:rRNA from 1 species
CCUACGGGACGCACCAGUGGGGAAUAUUGCACAAUGGGCGCAAGCCUGAUGCAGCCAUGCCGCGUGUGUGAAGAAGGCCUUCGGGUUGUAAAGCACUUUCAGUGGGGAGGAGGGCGGUGAGGUUAAUAACCUCACCGAUUGACGUUACCCGCAGAAGAAGCACCGGCUAACUCCGUGCCAGCAGCCGCGGUAAUACGGAGGGUGCAAGCGUUAAUCGGAAUUACUGGGCGUAAAGCGCACGCAGGCGGUCUGUCAAGUCGGAUGUGAAAUCCCCGGGCUCAACCUGGGAACUGCAUUCGAAACUGGCAGGCUAGAGUCUUGUAGAGGGGGGUAGAAUUCCAGGUGUAGCGGUGAAAUGCGUAGAGAUCUGGAGGAAUACCGGUGGCGAAGGCGGCCCCCUGGACAAAGACUGAAGCUCAGGUGCGAAAGCGUGGGGAGCAAACAGGCUUAGAUACCCUGGUAGUC